CACCCGGGGCGCCUCCCCGCGUGGCUGGGCGGGCUCAGUCACGACGCUGCGACCCCACCCGUCGGCCCAGCCCCCACGAAUGCUUAGCUUCUGGAAACGGUCCCGGGAGCACUUGACUAUCACCCCCAAGCGAGGAGCAAAUCCUGGAGACAGAUGUGUCCCGCAGGAGCUGGAAUAGAAGUCCACGCCACAGUACAGGUGAUUAGGAAAUAGGGCAGUGGUGGGACUUGUUGAAGAUGAAGCAGAUGUUGGUGGAGGGAAAAAAAUCACCCUGCUCUGGCUUAAUUAUCAUGCCUCAAGCAGAAACAAACUUGAGUCAGGGAUGGACCGAGGCAAGAUGAGGACAGUCCAUCCCACUGUUGGCAGUGUCAUCCCGAGGAAGAUUGGCCUGGCUGUAUAAGAAAUGUAGCUGAGCAAAUCAGAGUGAUCCGGUUUAAUUAAGGAUCUCAAGAGGAAGAGAUCUGCCUGGAUUAUGCAUACAGGCCCUAAUGCAUCAUAGAAGAAACACCUUGGAGAGCCACCAAAGAGCAUGCUGGGAAAGCCCGAGCUGGAGUAUGAGUGAUAAAGAGAAGUCGGCCAAGAUGGAGCUCACUGACCUCACCAGCCUGACAGCUAUUGUACACAGGAAGGGGGCUAAUAAGUGCUGACUUUCCUGCCAGCUGUCAGUAGAAGAGAUGUUACUUCAAGCCACAACAUUUUGGAGUGGUUUCCUUUGUAGCAACAGUACAUCCAGCCAGCCGGCAGCAAGCACAUACUAGUUGCUCUUCCAGGCAAUGGGGACAUCAUCUCCAUGAGUGAGCAUAUUCUGAGGUAGGGAUUCAGCACAAGGAAGGACAGGGUCUCACUGCUUAACCCUGAAUGACCUCAAACUCACAAAGAUCUACCUGCUUCUGCUUCAUGAGUGCUAGGAUUAAAGGGUAUGCUGCCACACCUAGUUCUUGGCUUCCAUUUUUAAAAAGUAAAUAAUGGCAUUAUAACAUACUCUCUUAAUAAAUAAUCAAGGGAUUUUGAAAAUAUAGUGUUUUCACUAACAAAGAGUUUUUAAAUUAUUUAUUAAUAUGAUGUUUUGAACUUGAAUUUGAGUGUUUCUGUAUAAAUCACAAUAAAAAUUAAUGAUGGUUGGCUUUUGUAGUUCCUACUAAUAAGUCCUGUGUUGCUGUUUUACAUACUAUAAAUGAUACUCGUAUGCAGGAUUGUGUUGAAGCUGCUCCUUGGGGGCAUUUUUCCACUUCAAUGUGAAAUAGAUCAUUGGAGUUUUAUGAGCAGUUUCAUUGUGUGGCUUUUCAAAAGAAAAAAAAAGUUUUUGAUUUUUUGUUCACAGUUUUCAGGAGAGAUCUGUUUUGGGAUAUUAUAUAGUCCAAUGAUGUCUUGAAUAACCCAGAGCUCCGUAGCAUAUGACAUCUCUCAAUGCAAAUGUAAUAAAUAGACACCUACAUCCUAGAUGCAAUACUAGUACGUUUCUCUUGGUCUAUGGCUCUUGUGGAGAGCAUUGUCAGCCCAGGUAGCAUAACUGUGUUUAAGAUAUACAUAGAGAUUGACAUAAAUGUGUAGGUGCACAUACACUUACACAUGUGAUAUAUGAUUUCAGGUAAAUAUGAAAUAAUUCCUUGAUACUUUAUCAGACAGCCUGGGUAUCAUUUGUCUGUAGCUAGAGUUUUCCUGCCUGGCCCACAGUCAGGACAAACUCUCUCACCCGCCAGUCCCACAGCCACUCAGACCCGACCAAGGAAACACAGAGACUUAUAUUGGUUACAAACUAUAUGGCCGUGGCAGGCUUCUUGCUAACUGUUCUUACAGCUUAAAUUAAUCCAUUUCUAUUAAUCUAUACCUUGCCACUUGGCUUGUGGCUUACCGGUACUUUACAUCUUCCUUGUCCUGAUGGCGGCUGGCAGUGUCUCCCCUCCCAGCUUCCUGUUCUCUCAAUUUUCCUCUCUGUUAGUCCCGCCUAUACUUCCUGCCUGGCCACUGCCAAUCAGUGAUUUAUUCAUUGACCAAUCAGCAACACAUUUGACAUACAGACCAUCCCACAGCACCUCCCCUUUUCUUUUCUUAAAAAGGAAGGUUUUAACCUUUACACAUCUCCAAAGUCAGCUUGGUAUAUUUGGGAAUUUGGGCGUAGCUUCUCUUACUACUUCCUGCUGGAGGGGGGCGCUGUAUCUUCUGGGGAAACAAAAUUUAAGGAUCAUGGAGUAGUCCGUGAGGCUGUAUCAUCUGAGCCAGUUGCCUUGAAACGAUUCUGGAUGUUGGAUCAUCUGGGCCAUGGUGUCAUCGGAGACCUUUCAGGUGGUCUUGGCUGGUCAAACCUGAUGUGUCUUAAUCUGGAACAAAUCCAUAGCCUCUUGCUUUCUGUGGAAACAAAAGAGACUCUUUUCCAAAGCAACAUAUCCUUACAUCCAAAUUUUGAAGUCAAAGUAUCUUUAAAAUAUACAUACUGGUUUAACUCAGCUUCCUUUACAAUCAAAUAUCUCUCUGUAGUUAAGAAUCCCAAAGACAACACAAUCCAGACUCUCUGUGUAAUAGUCAUCUCUACGUGGCUUAUUUUUUAUAUUAAUUUUACUGUCUCUUUAAAGACUUUAUUUUUUAAAACCAUGUAUUUGUUUCUAUACUGUAUAUAUCACCUUUUUUUUUGUCUCUUUUAAGCCUACGUAUAUUUUACACACAUUUUAAACUAUUACAUCUGAAUCUGUCUUAUUGUGAAUCUAUUGCUUUAAGCUGCAGCAGCUGUGGCUGCUGGCUCCGCCCACCUCAGCUUCCCAACAUGGCGUGGUACUUUACCACCAGCUCUGGGAGCUAUCGUGGGUCUAUGUUUUUAUCCAAGCAGCGUGUAGCCCAGAAACCUCUUUUGUUUUGUACUAGCAAAGGCUAAAUCCACAAUGUAGCUUAAUGUGCCACUUGCAGAGGCCUCAUUCCCGCCAUACUGCAGGUCGAGCGCGCACGCCAGCAACCUGCCAGUAGCUCAAACAGGCAGCUGCCGCUCAUUUGAGAGAGACAAUUAGGAAGCUGUUUUUAGCUCCGUUUUAGAAUCUUUUUUCUCAGGUUUUAGGUGGAAACUCUUGCCACCACGUUGGACGCCAUUUGUAGCUAGAGUUUUCCUGCCUGGCCCACAGUCAGGACAAACUCUCUCACCCGCCAGUCCCACAGCCACUCAGACCCGACCAAGGAAACACAGAGACUUAUAUUGGUUACAAACUGUAUGGCCGUGGCAGGCUUCUUGCUAACUGUUCUUACAGCUUAAAUUAAUCCAUUUCUAUUAAUCUAUACCUUGCCACUUGGCUUGUGGCUUACCGGUACUUUACAUCUUCCUUGUCCUGAUGGCGGCUGGCAGUGUCUCCCCUCCCAGCUUCCUGUUCUCUCAAUUUUCCUCUCUGUUAGUCCCGCCUAUACUUCCUGCCUGGCCACUGCCAAUCAGUGAUUUAUUCAUUGACCAAUCAGCAACACAUUUGACAUACAGACCAUCCCACAGCAUUUGUCCUCUCUUUUCUAUCUUUCCAGCUACAGGCCCCUCACCAUUUUCCCACUUUGUAUCACCUGUAUUCUGCUAUGCCUCUCCCACUCCUGCCACGGUCCCUUUAUACUUUCCUGAUUUCUGUGAUUUCUCCGUCUUAUACACUCGCAUCUGAAGAUUUGGAGUUAGAAGCCUCCAAUGAGUGAGAACAUUUGAUGUUUGUCUUUCUGGGUCUGAAUUACCUCACUCGAUAUAAUCUUUUGUAGUUAUAUCCAUUUACUUGUAAAUUUUAUCUUUUUCUUUUUCUUUACAGCUGAAUAGUAUUCCCUUGUGUGUAUGAACCACAUUUUCGUUAUCCAUUCAUCUGCUGAAGGACAUUUAGGUUAUAUUUCCAUUUCCUAGCUACAGUGAAGUAGGGUAUGGAGUCCACUGCGUUUAUGCCAAAGAGUGGUAUAGCUGGGUCAUAAGGUAGGUUUACUUUUAGCUUUUUCAGGUUUCUCCAUACUGGAUUCCAGAGUGACUGCACCACUUGGCUCUUGCCACCAACACUGAAUAAGGACUCCAUUUUCCUCACAUCCUCUCCAGCAGUUUUUACCACUUUUUAUUGAUCAUAGCCAUUCUAACUGGGGUGAAAUGAAAUCUCAAAGAUGUUUUGAUUUGCAUUUUCCUAAUUGCUAAUUUUUUAGGUAUUUCUUUUGCAGUUGUUGGAGCUCAUUUAUUUUAUUUUAUUUUUUUCUUUUAUUGAAAAUAGAUUUUUUUCUCAUAUAAUAUAUACUGAUUGUGGUUUCUCCUCCCUAUCCUCCUCCCAGUUUCUCCCCACCUCUCCUCCCAUCUAGACCCACUACCUUUCUGUCUCAUUAAAAACAUUCUUCUAAGAGACGAUAAUAAAAUAAAACACAAGCUAACACAUCAGACUAGAACAAAACAAACAAACAGAAGGAAAAGAGCCCAAGAAAAGGCACAAGAAACAUGUGUAGAUACAGAGAACCACUCCGGCGCAUACUCGGGAAUCCCAUAAAAAGACAAACUGAAAGCCAUAAUGUAUAUGCAAAGGGCCUGUGGGAGGGGGAGAGAGAGAGAAAGAAAGAGAGGGAGGGGGAGGGAGGAAAGAAAUAGAUGAAAUGAAAUAAGAAUUAAAUAUGAAAAAUAAAAACGAUUACAUUUUUUUAAAGCCCUAACAUGACAUUAUAAGACAAGGAACUCCUAAAUAUGCCAUUGAGUUUGGUUUUUGUUGGCCAUGUACAACUGCAAAAGAAAUACCUAAAAAAAUGUUCAUCAUGUUAUCAAUUAGGAAAUUUAUGACUCUCCAUCAUACAUCCUGACAUCGGAAAUGGCAAUCUCUGUCAUAUUGUUCUUUCUGCUCAGGAUGUCGGUGAGGCAUUUUAUUGACUGCCAAUUGUUGAUGUGGGAGGACCCAGCCCACUGUGAGUGGUUCCAUUCUUAGGCAGGUAUGCCUGGGAUGUAUUUUUAAAAGGGCCGCUGAGCAUGAACUAGUAAGUGAGCCAAUAAGCAGUGUUCCUUCAUGGUUUUUGCUUCAGUUCUUGUUGAUUCCUGCCAUGGCUUCCCUUGAUGAUGGACUGUAAUCUAUAAGCCAAAUAAACCCUUUCCUCCCCAGAUUGCUUUGGACCAUGGUCUUACCACAGGAACAGAAAAAGAAAACUAGGAUACAUUAACUCUUAAAUACUCAUGGUACUAUGGUACCUGCAACCAGCCCUAAAACUAACAAACGGCCACCAUAGCCUUUAAAUCCCCGAUCUCCCAGAUUGGCCACACUCAGCCCCUCUUGUAAUUUAUUAACCUGUAAAAUAAGAGGCUGUGAAUGAGACAUGAAAAUUAAAAUACCUCACUGAAGCCUAGAUGUACUAGUCUGGAAUGUGCAAUGCAAUCAUGCAAUAGAGAGGUGUAAGGAUUGGGACAAAGUAUACCAAGUCUAAGUGUAAAGUUUCUACUCAAUUCUAGCUGGCUGAUGGUUCCCACAUCUUCUCAUUCUUCCUCAGAGCUCAGAAACCUGGGUUGCUAUGUGAAAUCUUCUGAUAUUUAAAUAAUAUUAAAUAAUCCUAUGACCAAACAAGCUACAGAACUAGUAGGGAGAGAUGUUCUUCCAGAUAGGCCUCUACCAUAGGUCUUUGUUGGCGACACUGUCUUUAGUAUUGAUUUCUGUUUAGAUGGCUGAGAGGAAUCCAUGAGCACCAUGGCUAGUGUCUCCUGGGACACUUCUGUAUGACUGGCUUUCCUAACCUCCAGAUCCUUCUCAGACACAAGCAAAAACUGUCCAGCUACAUCCUUAAUUUCUCUCCAGAGCAAUCUUUCCUUAACUUACUUAGUCACUAUUAUUAGUCUAUUGCUGUGAUAAAACAUUGUGACUAAAAACAACUUGGGGAGGAAAUUAUUCAUUUCCACUUUUACUUACAGCCCUUCAUUGGGGAAGUAAGGGCAAGAGCUCAAGGCAGGGAACUGAAGCAGAAGCCUUGGAGAAACAUUAUUAACUGGCUUGCUCCUCAUGGCUUGCUCAACCCACUUUCUUUAACAACCCAGGACCACUUUCCCAGGGAUGGCACCACCGACAGUGGGCUGGUCCCUCCCACAUCAAUCAUCAAGACAAUACAUCUACAGUCUUGCCUACAAACAAGGCAUUUUCCCCAUUAAAAUGUCUUCUUCCCAGAUAUGUCUACAUUUGUGUCAAAUUGACAAAAAGGGCAACCAGCACAGCAAGCAUCCAAAUUUCAGCAUCGUUUGCAAUCUGGGUAUAAGGAGAGUUCCUAAGUCAUCAGACACCAAUUCCUUCCCUCUUUACAUUUUCUUCCAUCAACACAUCUCUUCCCUUACAUUUCACCAUAAUCAGCAAAAUAAGACUGCUCAGUACCUUAAGUCAUUUUCUUAGAAUUCCCAAAUCAAUAGCCAACAUUACUGACUCCAAGUUCUGCUUCUUGCAUAACAGCAGGACACAAACUCAACAAAUUUGGUGCCACAAUAUAUGAGUUACCUUCCCCCAGGGUUCCUUCAUGUUCCUCAUUUGUUUCUAAAUUGUUACCCGGGGUGUCUCUGAUGUCUAUAUUUUUGCCAACAGUCUUUUGAAUGAAAGUGUAAACAUCUGACAUAGUCAUAUAACACAGCCUUUCUCGGCCAUGUUUUCAUUGCCUUCUGCACCGUCACUAGUGGAGUCUUUGACGUCUAUAAUAUUAACAGUCCAUUGAAAGCAAUGUAGGCAUUUCCUCUCAUGUCCUCAAAAUUCUUCCCAUUUCUAACCACUGCCCAUUUCCAAAGCUAUGCCACAUUUACUUAUUUGAUAACUACCUUUCUAGGUACCCAAACCUCUAUCAUUUAGCAUUAAGUUAGAGGAAGAAAGGCAGUGGGAGAGCUGGAUGUAGGCACUGCAUGGAAAUAAACUGAUUUGGGGGGACUUACACCAUAAAUUCUGACAUCUGUAUAGUGGGGCUUGUUCAGCACAAGGUGAAACCGACACUGGAGUCUUCCAAUAAAACUUCUACUCUGAAGCUCUGGUUCUGUUCUCAAUGGCCUCUGAUUGACUGAUUUAUUCAGAUUUCAAACUUGCCUCUUUUAUGGAGCCAACCUGAAUGUGGAUCUUAUGAUGUGUAAUCUUGGUUGCCAAUUUGAUGGGUUCUUGACAGAGGUCUCUGAAUGAGUUGGCAUGCAUAUUUUCCCAGAACCAUUAACUGAGGGGGACAAAUGGCUGUAAAACAGCUCUAGUCGAGCCCAGGUCUGUCUUAGAGUUAAUGUGACCCCUUGACAAAAGCCGUGUCUCUGAAAUGUAGAUUUUGUACACCAUCCUUUAAAGCAGGGCGGAUAUUCCAUUAUUGACCAUGGGAUGAUUUCCAAAAUCAUCAGAAUGAACCCAGGUGACAGGUAUGGUAUGUCCCGUGGUUGACAAGAGAAAGUAUUCCACCCAGCUUGGUUUCUUUCUUUGGGGACCAACUCCGUGAGGGAAGAAACUUCCCAAGAAAAUGAGGUUUUAAAGAUUAAUCAUUGGAAAAUUUCACUAAUGACUCGUCAUUAGAGAUAAAUCAUUCAUGAUCUCCUUCCCGACAACGAUGGAUAAACGGAUACAUCAGAACAGAAAGCUCUGAGCAAAAGCUGAGAUGCCAGCUGCACAAAACUGGGCCCCAGGACUUCCUGGGAGAAGAACACAUUUGUGCUCCCAAAGGAGCCAGUGCUUUGCAACGUGGUUUUUACAGUGCCAUCUAGUGGAAGGUAAAAUUAUUGCAUAGCAGUCCGGGCAUCUGGGUUCUACUCCUUGGCUCUACCACCAGCUCGGGCCAAAAUGGGGAUUCCAAACUUGAUGUUCUACUUUCGUCCAGCAGCAAGUAACACCAAAUAUAGGUUUUUCCAUUAAAGUUGACUGUAAGUCUACUAGGCAUAAAAAUGAAUAUAGUGACGGUUACCUCUCCGUGCUGACACACAGAUAAACAUUUUUUUUUGCAUUUUUCGAGACAGGGUUUCUCUGUGUAGCUUUGCGCCUUUCCUGGGACUCACUUGGUAGCCCAGGCUGGCCUCGAACUCACAGAGAUCCACCUGGCUCUGCCUCCCGAGUGCUGGGAUUAAAGGCGUGCGCCACCACUGCCUGGCCACAGAUAAACAUUUUUAAAUGCCGGAGCUGUAUGUGGAUAGAACAGUGGGUCCUAAUGUGAAGCUGUAGAGUUAUUCCUUAACAGAGACUAGAGACAGUGUGGGAAGAACAUCUUAAACCUGAAAAGAGUAAAGAGGGCAAGAGGAAAGAUGAGCUGGUCAUGUCCCAGUGUCACAGGUAAAUGUCCUAGUACGGGGAUUGGGUGCCGGCUUCAGAAUGAAAGUCAAAGGUGGCCUGUAUCACUUGGUGAUGGUGUAACACCCCAGGGGCAGUCCAGCCCACUUUUGCUGGAACUCUGUUCCCCACCUCGAAGAAGCUAUCAACCACAUCCUCUGCCUUAUAUGGGAGUUCUUAAGAGAAAUGAGGAAGCAGGGGCAGCCUUGGCCAAAGGACAUUCUUUGAGGUGGGAGUUACCUUCCCUCCACCACGACCAAACCCUCCACGGCUUGUGUUUGUUUCAGCUCACCUGUUUCUUUUCCCUUGAGCCACUUGGCGUUGACACUCUAAGUCAACCUAAUUCCUUCCUCCUCAAUUUCAAACUCUAAUAUCCUCCAUCCCAAAGAAUCAACCAGCUUCUAGCUGCAUGUCCCUGACAAAUCAGACAUCUUUCCUAGAAAUUUCUGGAAAUUAUUCAUGCCUAUUUGCUGCUUACAGAAAACCCAUAGCAAUUCUUCUUCAUGGGGCUGUGCCACUCAACACAAGCAGGGAGAUGUAGGGGCUGCUGACCUCAGACCAGGAUACAAUGUUCUCACCUCUUCUAUCCAAUCUACAUCCCCACCCUCCACCCCACCUCGUUCUCUCCCUUUCAAAGAUGUUUGUUGUAGCCAUUGGGAUAUCAGCCGGUUGCCCUCACAGGAUGACACAGCUUUCUGCCUUUCUUUGCUGUGAGCCAAAGUGAGUAAUGUCUUGUACCUGGGAGAACAAUCAGGAAGGACACAGUCUUCAUUCAGUGCUGAGGGAAAAUAAGUAUAUGUCCCCUGGCUCUUUGUAAACAUUUAUUCCUUGCUGGAAAUAAGUGUUAUCAAGAUAAACCAAGAACCAGCCACAUAGCAAUAGCUUGCUUCACCUUUGAUGUUGCUUUGGUCCUCUCAGAGGCAAAAACAACAUUUUCCUCACAAAGGUGAUUUUCUCCCCCAUGAAGCCCACAGACAACUGAAUUGAUUUUCGGGCCAAAACGAUUUUAGAGUCUAUUUAUCUUCUCAGGAUGUUGUCCGUCCCCAGCUCACUCUGCCAUAUCUUUGCUGAGGUUUGUUGUAACAGAGACGAUUGUAGGCUCUCAUGCUUGAAAGAUAAAGAAAGAAAGAAACUCUGCUUUCUUUGCUGGAUGUGCCCUUUGCUCUAGCCUCUGAGACAAUGUUAGUAUCGAAACAAACACUAGCCUGGAGACUUUCCCUGGGGAGCUUCUGCUGAGUUUUAGGUUCAUUUUCUCCAUUAAUUCUUAAAAAAAAUGCUUUCUAAUAAAUUGUAGUGAUGGUAGGUAGAGUAAGAGGAAAACAUUGUGAAAUCAGCUGCGUGCUCUCUUCCUAGAGGAAUAUUGAAAAGGAGGUUUGUAUAUGCUGGUUAAAAAGUGAUCCCUUUUUAGAAGGGGUCUUUAAGAAGCCUCUUCCCCUUCACCCAAGUGAACACUGCUUAAGAGACUUCUGUGUAAAAACAUCACAUGCCAUUCUGUGCUUUCUAAGAUACUUUUUAUCAAUAUGUUUAAUGCACUUCAUCUUUGAAAUUAAUAAAUAUUAUGAAUUUUUAUGAGUAUGUCAAAAAUUCUGAUUGACAUUUUUCAACUAUUUUAGCAAAUGUCUACUGUAAAACAUUUCAGUGAGCAUCCUUUGAAAUACAGCAUUGUCCAUUUGAGUGAGUAAAUGUAUGUGGCACACUUGAAUAGAAAGAGUGUUGGAUUGAUACAGUAAUGAAGACAGGGAAGAGAAUUAACAAGUGCUAAUUCCCUACUACACAUACAUAAUACAUACAUACAUACAUAUACACACACAUACACACACACACACACACACACACACACACACACACACACACACACUCUCACACACAAUUUUUGUUUGUUUUUUGAGACAGGGUUUCUCUGUGUAGUCCUGGCUAUUCUGGAUAGAACUCACUCUGUAAACCAGGCUGGCUUUGAAAUCACAGAGAUCCCCCUGCCUCUACCUCCCAAGUUCUGGAAUUAAAGGCAUGUGCCACCAUGGCCCAGCUUCCCUAAAUCUUUUGAAGAGACUGAAGCAUAAAACCACUACAGUAUAGCAUAAAAGCACAUUGACCUUGCUAUCUUAAAUUUCUUUACCAGGACUGAGGAGAUAGCACCACAGUUAAGACUAUAAUCUGCUAUUGCAAAGGACCUAGGUUCAGUUCCCAGUAGCUCACAACAACCUGCAUCUCUAGGUUCAGGGGGAUCUGAUGCCCUCUUCUGGCCUCUUUGGGCAUUGCACAUAGAUGGUGCACAGACAGGUACAUACAUACACAUAGAUUUUUUUUUAUUCUCUAUCAUUAAAGUGGUCUCUAUGUGCUUUCUUUCUCCACCACACCCUCUCCCUUUCAUCUUUUUCCCAUUUCUCCUACUUCUUGCUUUCUCCCUCUUAAAGUGCAGGUAAUAUCAUAACGAUGGGAGAAGCCUCUAAUCAAACCCUGUUCCCGGACCUGAGGUAGACCUAGCAUGGCUUCAUGUCUAGACCCUCAUUGCUAAAUUCUAAUAAGAGAUGACAAGUGUGUUCUAGGCCAUGAGCAGUGUGCAGGUUGGUAGCUGAUAGCCAUGGCUUCUGUUAUAACAUUCUUGUCCUGAAUUCUGAAAAGUAUCAGCUCAGGAUACCCAAGACCAAGUUCUCAGCACAAAGGAGAUUUAUUUGCCCCAGAGGAACAGGGGGCAGGGAAUAAUAGACAAAAACAGGAGAUAGAAGAUGAGGGAAAGGAAGAGAAAGGAGGCAGGGAUAUUUGUCCAGUGGUGGAGUGGGGGUGGACAAACCUGCCUCUGGACAAAGAGGAGACAGACAUGGCCUAUAGGCAAGUGAUGAUUUAUAAAAGUAAAAUGGGAACCUCUGUGUUAGGAUGAGGUGUUUAAUUUUAAUUGGGCAUGUUAAUUAGGUGAGCCAAAGGAGGCUUUUGAUUGCUGGACUUCAAUGCUUUGCUAGCUGAAUCUUGGUAAUCAGCCUCAGGAGGAAAGGUUGGUCAAAUAAGAGAAUGGACUUUGGGGGGUAGCUUUAGAAAUGCAAUCUAAUGGUUUUUAGCAAGGCAGAGGGAAAGGGGAGAAAGGCAAGACCUGCCAGAGCCACAUGCUUGCAUGGGCUAGGGUCCCUUCACAUUCUUAGCACUCUAUAGCAUUCUUCCCUAACCUCGAGUUUUCUGUACACUUGUCUUCUAAAGAAAUCUCAGGCUUCUCCAUUAGGAAACAAAGUACUUCUUGAAUU